UUUUCUAGGAAUACUAUAGUAUAGUUUAGUUCAGAUUAAUAACCUAUUCAAUAUCUUUUUUGAAGAAAAUGUUCGAGGGUGUGACAGCAUUCAAGGUGGUUAAACGAAUUGAAAGCAUACAAGAAGAAGAUGAAGAUGAGUUGACUGAGAACAACAGAGACAAAAGAUCAGAAUGCUAAAAUAUCGAUACAAUGUAUAGAUAUAAUAAAAAUACCAAU